rnacentral:rRNA from 1 species
UACGGGGGGGGCAAGCGUUGUCCGGAUUUACUGGGCGUAAAGGGCUCGCAGGCGGCCAACUAAGUCGGACGUGAAAUCCCUCGGCUUAACCGGGGAACUGCGUCUGAUACUGGAUGGCUUGAGUUUGGGAGAGGGAUGCGGAAUUCCAGGUGUAGCGGUGAAAUGCGUAGAUAUCUGGAGGAACACCGGUGGCGAAGGCGGCAUCCUGGACCAACACUGACACUGAGGAGCGAAAGCCAGGGGAGCAAACGGG